rnacentral:lncRNA from 1 species
CCGGAGGGCCAAAAAAGAAUACAUUAUUACAAGGCUCGAGCACACGGCUUGGAAGGGAUACACCGGAGGCCACUUCAAGCUGCAAACUUCUCUUCCCGUUUCUGUCCUUCCUAGCCGCAUUUUCCAGUGCGUGUGACAAGCUUGUCGGCUCUCGCCCCCACCUUGUUCCGCUCCACCUCCGAAAUUCCAACCCUAGGGGGAAAAGGAUGGGAUAGAUUCCAGGGGGCAGUAAGGGCAACGACAGCGGCGAUGAAGACCUGUUUCAAGAAGAACCGGAGUUAUCCCGGAGGCAGCAAUGGCGCCAGAGAUAUGCGCCAUCAUCGAAUGCUCCAUGACAACCACCAUCCUAAGUGUUCCGGCA